AGAGAGGCUGCUACAAGAACCUGAUGCUGCUUAAUGGUAAUGGAGGUAGAACAGAAAUGCUGGGGGAUGCCACACAUACAGAGAUGCUGAUCUACUUGCAGCUAAUCAGACAGCUUCCUCAUGCUUCUCAAGACUGAGAGACCCUCACUGUUCUUCAAGCCAGAGUCUCCUCCUUCUCCGGAUUCCACUCCUGGGGCCCCUCCCCUAUCAAGAACUGAUCCCUCCCUCCCUGCUGACUCUCCAGUCUAUUCUGCCUUCAUAUCCAUCCUCUGAAGCUAGCUCUACUCUGAAGACAAAUCCUGUUCAGGCAUGGUCUUCCUACAUUCAGUUGAAACAUGGCAUAAUGAAAAGAAAACUAGCUUCAUAGAUGGGAAGACCUGAUUUCUUCUUCGUCCUCUGACACAUACAAGUUCUGAGACAUUGGCCAAGGCACAGCCUUUCUGUGUCUAGGCAACUAAGACUGUAAGUUGCAGAGAAGGUGCCAACUUUCAUUAAGAGGAGGAAUUUCAUUAUGUUGGAGAUUCCUGUAUUAAGAAAUUGCAGAUCCAGUCCCUCUAUAUAUCCCCUCUUGAUUUAUCUUUAAAUAUUCUCAUGCUGGGGCAGUUAGGUGUCUCAGUGGAUAGAGAGCCAGGCCUGUUGGUGGGAGGUCCUGGGUUCAAGUUUGGCCUCAGACCCUUCUAGCCUAGGCAAUUCUCUUAACUCCAAUUGCCUAGUCUUUACUGCUCUUCUGCCUUAGAAACAAUACUAGGUAUUGAUUUCAAGAGAGAAGGUAAGGGCUUAAAAAAAUCCAUUGCUUAUGGGGGCAGCUAGAUUGCUUAGUGGAUUGAGAGCCAG
rnacentral:lncRNA from 1 species